rnacentral:rRNA from 1 species
GUAGCUUGCUAUGAUAAAAAUUAGUGGCAGACGGGUGAGUAAUGCAUAGGAAUCUACCUAGUAGUAUGGGAUAGCCACUAGAAAUGGUGGGUAAUACUGUAUAAUCCCUGCGGGGGAAAGAUUUAUCGCUAUUAGAUGAGCCUAUGUUAGAUUAGCUAGUUGGUAGGGUAAAGGCCUACCAAGGCAGUGAUCUAUAGCUGGUCUGAGAGGAUGAUCAGCCACACUGGAACUGAGAUACGGUCCAGACUCCUACGGGAGGCAGCAGUGGGGAAUAUUGGACAAUGGGCGCAAGCCUGAUCCAGCUAUGCCGCGUGAGUGAGGAAGGCCUUAGGGUUGUAAAACUCUUUCAGUGGGGAAGAUAAUGACGGUACCCACAGAAGAAGUCCCGGCAAACUCCGUGCCAGCAGCCGCGGUAAUACGGAGGGGGCAAGCGUUGUUCGGAAUUAUUGGGCGUAAAGGGCAUGUAGGCGGUUCGGUAAGUUAAAGGUGAAAUGCCAGGGCUUAACCCUGGAGCUGCUUUUAAUACUGCCAGACUCGAGUCCGGGAGAGGAUAGCGGAAUUCCUAGAUUU